rnacentral:rRNA from 1 species
AACGAACGCUGGCGGCAGGCCUAACACAUGCAAGUCGAGCGGACAUCUUCGGAUGUUAGCGGCGGACGGGUGAGUAACGCGUGGGAACGUGCCCUUUGCUUCGGAAUGGCCUCGGGAAACUGGGAGUAAUACCGGAUGUACCCUUUGGGGGAAAGAUUUAUCGGCAAAGGAUCGGCCCGCGUUGGAUUAGGUAGUUGGUGGGGUAAUGGCCUACCAAGCCGACGAUCCAUAGCUGGUUUGAGAGGAUGAUCAGCCACACUGGGACUGAGACACGGCCCAGACUCCUACGGGAGGCAGCAGUGGGGAAUCUUAGACAAUGGGGGAAACCCUGAUCUAGCCAUGCCGCGUGAGCGAUGAAGGCCUUAGGGUUGUAAAGCUCUUUCACCGGGGAAGAUAAUGACGGUACCCGGAGAAGAAGCCCCGGCUAACUCCGUG